rnacentral:rRNA from 1 species
AACGAACGCUGGCGGCAUGCCUAACACAUGCAAGUCGAACGAGACCUUCGGGUCUAGUGGCGCACGGGUGCGUAACGCGUGGGAACCUGCCCUUAGGUUCGGAAUAACUCCCCGAAAGGGGUGCUAAUACCGGAUAAUGUCUUCGGACCAAAGAUUUAUCGCCUUUGGAUGGGCCCGCGUUGGAUUAGCUAGUUGGUAGGGUAAAAGCCUACCAAGGCGACGAUCCAUAGCUGGUCUGAGAGGAGGUUCAGCCACACUGGGAAUGAGACACGGCCGAGACUCCGACAGGAGGCGGCAGUGGGAAAUAGUGGACAAGGGGGGGAGGACGAGUCCAGCAGUGCCGCGUGAGGGAUUAAGGCCUAAGGGUUGUAAAGGUCUUUUACCCGGGAUGAUAGAGGGUGACCCGAGAAAAAGAACCCGGUCAAUCCCCG